rnacentral:rRNA from 1 species
AAACAUCGCCUCCUGCAGUAUAUGGGAGGUCCAGCCUGCCCAGUGACCAAGUUAAACGGCCGCGGUACCCUAACCGUGCGAAGGUAGCGCAAUCACUUGUUCUUUAAAUGAGGACUAGUAUGAAUGGCAUCACGAGGGUUACACUGUCUCCCACCUCUAAUCAGUGAAACUGAUCUCCCCGUGAAGAAGCGGGGAUAAAACUAUAAGACGAGAAGACCCCAUGGAGCUUCAAACCCGGCAUCAACCAUUAACAUUAAUACCACAUUAAAUAAAUGGACCUGACUGCUGGUUUUAGGUUGGGGUGACCGCGGAGCAUAACAAAACCUCCAUGAUGAACGACCUCCUCUCUAAUCCGAGAGCCACCACUCAAAGAAUCAAAAAAUUGACAUUUAUUGACCCAAACUAUUUUGAUCAACGAACCAAGUUACCCUGGGGAUAACAGCGCAAUCCAUUUCAAGAGCCCCUAUCGACAAAUGGGUUUACGACCUCGAUGUUGGAUCAGGGUAUCCUAGUGGUGCAGCCGCUACUAAAGGUUCGUUUGUUCAACGAUUAAAACCCUACGUGAUCUG